UACGUAGGGAGCAAGCGUUGUCCGGAAUCAUUGGGCGUAAAGCGCGCGUAGGCGGCCCCGUAAGUCCGCUGUGAAAGUCAAAGGCUCAACCUUUGAAAGCCGGUGGAUACUGUGGGGCUAGAGUACGGAAGAGGCGAGUGGAAUUCCUGGUGUAGCGGUGGAAUGCGCAGAUAUCAGGAGGAACACCAGUGGCGAAGGCGACUUCCUGGCCUGUUCUUGACGCUGAGGCGCGAAAGCUAGGGGAGCAAACGGG
rnacentral:rRNA from 1 species